rnacentral:lncRNA from 1 species
AAAAUGUCAACUAGAGCUGCUUAUUCUCUUAUUAUGCACUUUGUCUUGUGUUUGAUUUUGAUUCUCUUAGUUCUUCCACAAACAUCUGCAGGUAGAUUUGAGUAAUUCUGUCCCAUUAACUCUUUUGAUUUUGACUUUUGCAUCUUUCAUUAAGACAUUAUUAAUUAACUCUGUCCAAUUCUUUUUGUGCAGAGAAUAAUUCACAUGUGGGUGGAAAUACUUCACAACAGGGCCCUGGCCCUUGAAUCAAGCUUUCACACAGCCAAGGCACAGCUAAAGCACUAUUUAUGUGAUUAAACUUCUUGUUAGAUUACUAGCUAUUCUACUUUAGAUAGUUAUUAUCUCUUGUAUUAUAUUUAAGCAGCUACAUAUUCUGAGAUGAUCAUGUACUAAAAGCAAUUUAAAAAAUAUAAAGCUGUUAUGUUAGUUAUAUGGUAUCAGAGACCAAAGGCUAACCACUUCUUUGUUAUUCCUUGAAGUAUAAAUCAUUGUUACUAUUAAGUAAUUAAUGAUCAUAUAAUAUUUUUUCAUAUUAGUAAAAAGUUAAAAAUUUAAAAAGUAUCAUUACUAGUGUUUUGUAAUUCUUAUCGAAUUUGGAGUUUAAAAAUAUUUCUAAUUUACUUUCAAAAGUUAAUAAUGAUAUAUUAAUAUUAUAAUUUAAAAUGAAGUCUUAGGGAAGCACAAUCUCUAUUCUAUGCACUUGAUAGUAUUAAAGAAUGUAUCAAGUUCUAGUUAGAUCAUAAUUAUAUCUUUAUCUUAUUGAAAGCGGUUUGGAUUCGGCUUCUUUAGAGUUCUCAACAUCUCAGCCUUGCAUUUGAAUUAUAUGGUCAAGAUAAAACCACCUAUUACUAAAUGAUUUUUUUUAAUGAAAUAAUUUCCAGCUCGGCAAACACAUCACUUUCCCUCUCCUACGAUCUCCUUAAAUUAUCAAUUUUUUUAAUUUAUUUGAUUUUGGGUUCUAGCGGGGGGGUUUGUUAGUCGCAGAGAAACUUGUUUCAUGUUAGGCCUAAAUUUUGGAUGUAGAUGUAAACAAGCAGAUGCAAGUCUCGCAACAAAAAUCAUUUCCUCGGCCACUUCAUCAAGUCUGUCAGUAGAACACCACAAGCAACUGAUGAUGAGAGAUACGAGAUGUUCUUACUUUAUAUGUCCUGGUGAACUAUCAGAGGCAAGCACUCAUGGUGCAUGAAUGAUAAACCAUUUGCCACAUCUUUAACAAUUUUUAGGGAGUGUUUUUUUAGAGUUAAAUGGAGCUGAAUAGCUGAAUUGAUCAGUUAUUCAGUGCAUCUGUUUUGAAUAAAAAUCGUUUAAGUGGCUGAAUUGUUCAGAUUUUUGGGCUGAAUGACAAAGUGUAAUUUUUUUGGCCGAAUGGGCUGAAUAACUGCUGAAUGAA